rnacentral:tRNA from 2 species
UCCCUCGUAGCCCAAUCGGUAGAGGCACCGGACCUAGAUUCCGGGAAGGUGCGAGUUCGAAUCUCGUCGAGGGAA